rnacentral:rRNA from 1 species
CGGCGGACGGGUGAGUAACGCGUGGGUAACCUGCCUCAUACAGGGGGAUAACAGUCAGAAAUGACUGCUAAUACCGCAUAAGACCACGGUACCGCAUGGUACAGUGGUAAAAACUCCGGUGGUAUGAGAUGGACCCGCGUCUGAUUAGGUAGUUGGUGAGGUAACGGCCCACCAAGCCGACGAUCAGUAGCCGACCUGAGAGGGUGACCGGCCACAUUGGGACUGAGACACGGCCCAG